UGCAGUCGAGCGAGCUGAAUUCAAAGAUUCCUUCGGGAUGAUUUGUUGGACGCUAGCGGCGGAUGGGUGAGUAACACGUGGGCAAUCUGCCCUAAAGACUGGGAUACCACUUGGAAACAGGUGCUAAUACCGGAUAACAACAUGAAUCGCAUGAUUCAAGUUUGAAAGGCGGCGCAAGCUGUCACUUUAGGAUGAGCCCGCGGCGCAUUAGCUAGUUGGUGGGGUAAAGGCCUACCAAGGCAAUGAUGCGUAGCCGAGUUGAGAGACUGAUCGGCCACAUUGGGACUGAGACACGGCCCAAACUCCUACGGGAGGCAGCAGUAGGGAAUCUUCCACAAUGGACGCAAGUCUGAUGGAGCAACGCCGCGUGAGUGAAGAAGGUCUUCGGAUCGUAAAGCUCUGUUGUUGGUGAAGAAGGAUAGAGGCAGUAACUGGUCUUUAUUUGACGGUAAUCAACCAGAAAGUCACGGCUAACUACGUGCCAGCAGCCGCGGUAAUACGUAGGUGGCAAGCGUUGUCCGGAUUUAUUGGGCGUAAAGCGAGCGCAGGCGGAAUGAUAAGUCUGAUGUGAAAGCCCACGGCUCAACCGUGGAACUGCAUCGGAAACUGUCAUUCUUGAGUGCAGAAGAGGAGAGUGGAACUCCAUGUGUAGCGGUGGAAUGCGUAGAUAUAUGGAAGAACACCAGUGGCGAAGGCGGCUCUCUGGUCUGCAACUGACGCUGAGGCUCGAAAGCAUGGGUAGCGAACAGGAUUAGAUACCCUGGUAGUCCAUGCCGUAAACGAUGAGCGCUAGGUGUUGGGGACUUUCCGGUCCUCAGUGCCGCAGCAAACGCAUUAAGCGCUCCGCCUGGGGAGUACGACCGCAAGGUUGAAACUCAAAGGAAUUGACGGGGCCCGCACAAGCGGUGGAGCAUGUGGUUUAAUUCGAAGCAACGCGAAGAACCUUACCAGGUCUGACAUCCUGCGCUACACCUAGAGAU
rnacentral:rRNA from 1 species